GACGAACCACACAAACGUUAUUCGGAAUUACUGGGCUUAAAGGGUGCGUAGGCGGCGCGGAAAGUAGGGUGUGAAAUCCCUCGGCUCAACCGAGGAAUUGCGCCCUAAACUACCGUGCUCGAGGGAGAUAGAGGUGAGCGGAACUUAGGGUGGAGCGGUGAAAUGCGUCGAUAUCCUAAGGAACACCGGUGGCGAAAGCGGCUCACUGGAUCUCUUCUGACGCUGAGGCACGAAAGCUAGGGUAGCGAACGGG
rnacentral:rRNA from 1 species